GAUGAACGCUGGCGGCGUGCCUAAUACAUGCAAGUCGAACGCUGGAGAUCUAGCUUGCUAGAUCGAAGGAGUGGCGAACGGGUGAGUAAUACAUAAGCAACCUACCCACGAAGACUGGGAUAAUCUCUGGAAACGGGGACUAAUACCGGAUAGGUAAUCGGAAGGCAUCUUCUGGUUAUUAAAGGUUAAAAACACUGGUUGAUGGGCUUAUGGCGCAUUAGUUAGUUGGUGAGGUAACGGCCCACCAAGACGAUGAUGCGUAGCCGGCCUGAGAGGGUGAACGGCCACAUUGGGACUGAGACACGGCCCAGACUCCUACGGGAGGCAGCAGUAGGGAAUUUUCGGCAAUGGGGGCAACCCUGACCGAGCAACGCCGCGUGAGUGAAGACGGCCUUCGGGUUGUAAAGCUCUGUUGUAAGGGAAGAACGGUAGAUAGAGAAUAUCUAAGUGACGGUACCUUACCAGAAAGCCACGGCUAACUACGUG
rnacentral:rRNA from 1 species